GACGAACGCUGGCGGCGUGCUUAACACAUGCAAGUCGAACGGAAAGGCCCUGCUUUUGUGGGGUGCUCGAGUGGCGAACGGGUGAGUAACACGUGAGUAACCUGCCCUUGACUUUGGGAUAACUUCAGGAAACUGGGGCUAAUACCGGAUAGGAGCUCCUGCUGCAUGGUGGGGGUUGGAAAGUUUCGGCGGUUGGGGAUGGACUCGCGGCUUAUCAGCUUGUUGGUGGGGUAGUGGCUUACCAAGGCUUUGACGGGUAGUCGGCCUGAGUGGGUGACCGGCCACAUUGGGACUGAGAUACGGCCCAGACUCCUACGGGAGGCAGCGGUGGGGAAUAUUGCACAGUGGGCGGAAGCCGGAGGCAGCAACGCCGCGUGCGGGAUGACGGCCUUCGGGUUGUAAACCGCUUUCGCCUGUGACGAAGCGUGAGUGACGGUAAUGGGUAAAGAAGCACCGGCUAACUACGUG
rnacentral:rRNA from 1 species